rnacentral:rRNA from 1 species
UUGCACGCUGGCGGCAUGCUUUACACAUGCAAGUCGAACGGUAACAGGCCGCAAGGUGCUGACGAGUGGCGAACGGGUGAGUAAUGCAUCGGAACGUGCCCAGUCGUGGGGGAUAACUACUCGAAAGAGUAGCUAAUACCGCAUACGAUCUAUGGAUGAAAGCGGGGGACCGUAAGGCCUCGCGCGAUUGGAGCGGCCGAUGUCAGAUUAGGUAGUUGGUGGGGUAAAGGCUCACCAAGCCAACGAUCUGUAGCUGGUCUGAGAGGACGACCAGCCACACUGGGACUGAGACACGGCCCAGACUCCUACGGGAGGCAGCAGUGGGGAAUUUUGGACAAUGGGCGCAAGCCUGAUCCAGCAAUGCCGCGUGCAGGAAGAAGGCCUUCGGGUUGUAAACUGCUUUUGUACGGAACGAAACGGCUCUGGUUAAUACCCGGGGCUAAUGACGGUACCGUAAGAAUAAGCACCGGCUAACUACGUG